rnacentral:rRNA from 1 species
UAAUUGGGCGUUAAGUUGCAGGGUAUAGACCCGAAACCCGGUGAUCUAGCCAUGGGCAGGUUGAAGGUUGGGUAACACUAACUGGAGGACCGAACCGACUAAUGUUGAAAAAUUAGCGGAUGACCUGUGGCUGGGGGUGAAAGGCCAAUCAAACCGGGAGAUAGCUGGUUCUCCCCGAAAGCUAUUUAGGUAGCGCCUCGUGAAUUCAUCUCCGGGGGUAGAGCACUGUUUCGGCUAGGGGGCCAUCCCGGCUUACCAACCCGAUGCAAACUGCGAAUACCGGAGAAUGUUAUCACGGGAGACACACGGCGGGUGCUAACGUCCGUCGUGAAGAGGGAAACAACCCAGACCGCCAGCUAAGGUCCCAAAGUCAUGGUUAAGUGGGAAACGAUGUGGGAAGGCCCAGACAGCCAGGAUGUUGGCUUAGAAGCAGCCAUCAUUUAAAGAAAGCGUAAUAGCUCACUGGUCGAGUCGGCCUGCGCGGAAGAUGUAACGGGGCUAAACCAUGCACCGAAGCUGCGGCAGCGAACGUAUCACUUAAAGCGAUUCAGCGGGUUACGAUUGACGGAGCGAAGCGACGUCAAAGCGUAUACAAAGUCGAGUCGGUUUAAGGAUACGUUCGUUGGGUAGGGGAGCGUUC